CAUUUUUAUGUAAAACAUGAAUUUAGCUCCUCUUUUAGCUGUAUCUAGUUUGGAUGAGCGGUAGGUUUCGAGCUGGCGUAGGGUUAUUUUAUUUUUAAUUUUUUAGUUCUAUUUUAUUUAUUUAUUUUUUCCGUUUGCCCGAUUGAUUUAUAAUUAAUUGGUUAUUUCUAGCUUUGUUGUUGUUAUGGUAACCAGACAGAAAUAACGUGAAAGUGUAAAACAAGUGAGUUAAAAGUAUUAUAUGCUGGGGGUAUGAUAUAUGGUCACACAAGAAUUAGAUGAAGUCAACUUGAUUCAGGCAGAUUUCUCUGUAGUUCACAAAACUUUCAGGAGGCCUUGCACAUCAUUUUUCUUGCACCUUUUUAAAUCCAGAAGUUUUACUUUAUUGAACAGGAUGACCUAGGAUAAUCCUAUUUGACUUAUUCUGUUUGUAGAUAAGUUAGCUGUCUUGGAGAAUCUUCUUAGUUUUUUGUCAUACCGAGCCCUGUGAUUUUAAUGUAUAUUUUUAAAAGAAAAGGGUGAUUGUAUUAUGUGAAAUAAUCUCCACAUGGCUGUUUUGGCAGCAUGAGAGGCACAUAAAAACUUGAGAUUCAUGAAAUUCACUUCAAAUUUGUAUGAUUUUCUUUUAAUAUUUUGAUCCAAGUCCUCAUUCCCAUGCACCGAACGUAGUAUAUCUUAAAGCCUAUUAACAAGUUAACAUUGACAAGGGACAAUUGGUUACAUUGCAUUAUAAUAGAUGGAUUGUCGGGUUGCGAUCUUGGGAGUAGAGAAAAAAUCUUUGAUCUUGUUCCGUGCAUUCCACAUAACGCAUGAGUUCAACCUCCUACUUCUAUAUCAAUCUUGGAGCGGUGAACAGUUCGAUGGAAUCUGGACAGCAUUGUAAUAUUUCCAAUUUUGACAAACCUACCUCUGCUGCUACUGAAGAAGACAACGUAAGAGAAGGUGAUUCUUCAUCAAAUGCACCUAGUGUUGACGUGCGCUCGACCUAUGGAAAUGAACCAAUUCUUAUGAACUUGCAGAAUGUCUCCUAUAUUUACAGACAAGAUGUUGUAAAAAGCAAAACUAACAGUAAGAUAGGCAUUGUGACCGAAGUUGCUGGUGACUCAGAUUCAGAUAGCAGCAUAUCUGAUGAUGAAGAUGGGGAUGGGGAUGAGGAUGAUGAUGAGGAUGAUGAAGUUUGUUCUAAUGAAGAUGGUGAUGUGGAUAAUGGAAAUUUUGAUGAGAGUGCUGAAGAAAUUACUGACAAUAAUAGCAGUAAGAGCAGUCCUCUUUCUGCUGACCAAGUUAGAGUUCUCUGGAUGGAUGAUUCCGAAACAACAGAAACUACUACUGAUGUGACAGUUGUAGAUAGAGGAUUUUUACAUGGGGAUUAUGUUGCUGCUGCCUCUGAUCCAACUAAUCAAAUAGGUAUCGUGGUUGAUGUUAAUAUCUCUGUUGAUCUAUUAACUCACGACGGAUCUGUUUUGAAAUGUAUAUCAUCUAGAAACUUGAAACGCAUUCGGGAUUUUACCGUUGGUGAUUAUGUAGUCCUUGGACCCUGGCUAGGUAGAGUUGAUGAUGUUUUGGAUAAUGUAACGGUUUUGCUUGAUGAUGGCUCUGUAUGUAAAGUUACGAAAGCUGAUCCACUCCAUCUAAAACCCGUUGAUAAGAACGUUCUUGAAGAUGGACACUUUCCAUAUCAUCCGGGCCAGCGUGUUAAGGCAAGCUCCUCCUCAGUUUUCAAAAAUUCUAGGUGGCUAUCUGGAUUGUGGAAAGCUAAUCGGUUGGAGGGUACUGUAACGAAAGUCACCAUUGGUUCUGUGUUUAUUUAUUGGAUUGCGUCUGCUGGGUAUGGGCCUGACUCUGCUACUACCCCAGCUGCAGAACAGAGUCCCAAGAACUUAAAAUUAUUAUCUUGUUUUGCACAUGCAAACUGGCAGUUGGGUGAUUGGUGCCUUCUUCCAUCAUCUCUUGUAUCAUCCUCCACGAGCCUGGACAAGGGAUUAUCAAAACUAGAGACUUCCAGUUCUGCUAAAGAUGAACCAGAAGCUGCUGAAACAGAAGAUGACUCUGAUGCAGAAGUGAGGAAUUCAGAGGAAUCAAAUGGGAAUAGUAAACCAAUGGCAAAUAAUAAAGAUGCUUCUUUGGAUAUAAACAGCCAAACAUUCGAGAAUAAUGCCCCCGAAGAAUUGGAUAUAUGCACCAGUUCCGUGUCAGUUGCAAAGGAAAGUGUCCAUGAGACCUGGCCCCUGCCACGUAAAAAGAUCCGUAAAGUUGUAUUCAGGAAGGACAAGAAAGCCCGAAAGAAAAUAGAAAAUUUUGAGAGGGCUGUUUUGAUUGUCAAUACAAUGACGAAAGUUGAUGUUGCCUGGCAGGAUGGAACAAUAAAGCGGGACUUGGACUCCACAUCUUUGAUCCCCAUUGAUAGUCCUGGUGAUCAUGAGUUCGUUGCUGAACAGUAUGUAGUGGAGAAGGCUUCUGAUGACAGUGAUGAUGCUGUUGAGAUAAGACGUGUUGGAGUAGUGAAAAGUGUCAAUGCAAAAGAGCGGACAGCUAUUGUUCGGUGGUUAAAGCCAGUUGCCCGGGCAGAGGUCCCCAGAGAGUUUGAUGGAGAGGAAGUAGUAAGUGUUUAUGAGCUAGAGGGGCAUCCUGACUAUGACUAUUGUUAUGGAGAUGUAGUUGUUCGGUUGUCGCCUGUUUCUGUACCAGGGAAAGUGGAUUCUUCCAUGGAGUCUGUUGAAGAACCAAACCAGAUUAUUGGUUCAAAUGAAUCUAAGCAAGAUAAGAAAAGGCAUCCUGGAAGUAAGAAAGUACAGACCUCAUCUGGUGAUGAUGUGCCUAGUGAUUUUUCAGAUCUAUCUUGGGUUGGGAACAUCACCGGGCUAAAGAAUGGUGACAUUGAAGUUACCUGGGCUGAUGGGAUGAUCUCAACGGUUGGUCCGCAGGCAAUUUAUGUUGUUGGUCGUGACGAUGAUGAGUCUAUUGCCACUGGAAGUGAAGCUAACGAUGAUGCAGGUAGCUGGGAAACUGUUGAAGAUGAUGAUUCGGAGUCUGUUGAGAAUUCCAAGCAGGACCUCAGGACAGACAAUGAGCGUGACAUCAGACGGGAAUCUGAGGAGAGUGACAUUGUUGCAGAAAAUUCUGGAAAGAAUGGAGCUCUCUCAAUUCCCCUUGCUGCACUUGGAUUUGUGACUAGACUUGCCUCUGGAAUAUUUUCAAGGGGACGACAGCGCACGGAUCUAAUGGAUUUGGAUUCCAUAAGUGAAGAUGAACUUCAAUCUGAGGGAUCCACCCUAGAAAGAGACACUGUAGAAAGAGACACAAACAAUGAAUCGAGCUGCCAGAAACCUAGUGAUAGUGACAAUCAUCUUGCAAAGUUUCCUACUAAUGGAAAGGGGGAGGUAAAUGAUGCAGCUGAGGCCCAAGAUUUAUUAGAAAUUGCUGAAGCUCUUUGUAACUUGAAACCUCCAGGAGCUGCUCCAGGUCCAUGUGAUGAGGACACUUCUAGGUUCAAAGGCUUUGAUAUUGUUAGAGAUCCUCGUGACCAAUAUUUUCUUGGUGCACAUGGGCAGAAUAAUGCUGGUAGGAAGUGGCUCAAGAAAGUUCAACAAGAUUGGAACAUUCUUCGAAAUAAUCUCCCUGAGGGGAUAUAUGUGCGUGUGUAUGAAGAUAGAAUGGAUCUUUUGAGGGCGGUGAUAGUUGGACCUUAUGGCACACCUUAUCAAGAUGGCCUUUUCUUCUUUGAUUUUCACCUCCCACCAGAAUAUCCUGACGUUCCACCUGUAAGAGAACAUGAUAUUGUCAGCAUAUUAUCAUUCUGGAGGGUGGCGAAUAAAUCCAAAUUUAUACGAGGAAGGGAAAGUCUGCCUUAGUCUUUUGAAUACAUGGGCAGGCAGAGGAAAUGAGGUUUGGGAUCCUUCAUCAUCAAGCAUUCUUCAAGUCCUGGUUUCACUCCAGGGACUAGUACUAAAUUCCAAGCCAUAUUUCAAUGAAGCGGGAUAUGAUAAACAAAUUGGGACAGCUGAAGGGGAGAAAAAUUCGUUGUCUUACAAUGAGAAUACAUAUUUGUUGAACUGUAAGACAAUGAUGUAUCUGAUGCGGAAACCUCCAAAGGACUUCGAAGAGCUUGUCGUCCAACAUUUCAGAAGACGUGGCCACUAUAUUCUCAAGGCUUGUGAUGCUUAUAUGAAGGGACACCUGAUUGGCUCACUCACUGAGGAUGCUUCUGUUAGCAGUAAUAGCCACGGUAACUUAAAUUCUGUUGGUUUCAAGCUGAUGCUGGAUAAAAUUGUGCCAAAACUUUUCAUAGCUUUAAAUGAAGUUGGAGCAGACUGUCAGGAUUUCAAGCACUUGCAAAAGUUGUAGCAGUGGUCUUAAAGGACCUUUGUGCUUCUUAAUCAGCCCCAAAGAGGUCAGCCUUUCCAAUUUCGAGGGUUUUUCUCUAAAUUUUGAAUACCUGCAAUGUGAAGGCUUGAGAUGCUUAAUGAGAUACUUUAUAAUGGGACAUUAGACACAGUAUGAUCAUGCUUAAACAGCAUGGAUUCUUUGGAGUUAUAUCCGGUGUUAUACUUUGUAAUAUUCCCUGAACUAACAAAUUGAAAAACGAGCAGCUUCUUGUCGAUUUCGCUACUCAGCUAUGGCUGGAUUCCCCCCCUUUUUUUAAUUGGUUUUCUGCUUUCGCGUCCCUCUAAAAUGGACAGUUAUCCUUUCUGUCAAGAACAAAUUUUAUUCAGGAUCGAUUGACGAAAUUCUUUUUAUUGGAGUCUGUAGGAAAUGGUCUGCUGUAAUAUAGAUUUGACGAGCAACUAAUUGUAUCUACUCGUAUUAUGUAGAAAAUAGCAUGGAAUUGUGCAUUAUUUCUCA